rnacentral:lncRNA from 1 species
CAAUAAAGAGGGUACCAUGAUAGAGUAACUUGGUGCUCCAUCAUGGCGAGGAUUAUUUAGAGCAGACUUUGAAAGAGCUGUGUCAUGAGGCUUGGCCAGUCUCAAGGAUCCAACACUGCUACUUAAGUUUCCAGAUGACAAAGUCUCAGGUGUCAGAGAGCCAUUCCCCAGCACUUCUGCAUGCAACACGCCCUUUGGCAUGGACCUGGAAAAUCUCUUCAUAAAGACUCGGACAAGACAGUCCUUCAAGCUGCUCCUAGAGCAUGGGGCUGACAAAAGAAGGCAUGCCAAGAGAGGAAGAACAAGGCAGAUGCUUCUGGUGGCUGUGACCAACCACGAUCACAUACAUUUGAUGCCAUCCUUUGGGAAUCCAUAGAAAUUCCGAGGGAGGUAUUGCAAGUGAACAAGAGUUCCACAGACCCAGAUAGGAGCAAGGAUGGGAACUUUAAUUAUCAAUGUCAGUCCGACUUCAUCGAACCCAGAUGCUGGCAAGGCCUGCCGACAUUUGAACUCUAAGCCUGCAACUCUGUACCACUUCUCUGAUCACACUGUGAACAACUCGAGGGUGGGAAUGCAUCUAUCUUUGAAUGCACACAGCCUAGAGCUAGGGCCAUGCAACAAAUGUAGUGUUGGAUGAAUAAAUGAAUGAAUCUACAAAUUGUCGUGAGUAAUAAUGCAUCAAACACAACACGAUGGUCAGAUUGCAUUGCAAUGGUCAUGGCUGGAUCUUGCACAACACAACAUUUUUGAGCAUCUUGCAGAAUCCUAGAUACCCAGAUCUAAAAGAACUGGCUGCUCCUUAACUGCUUAAAAAACCUCCGAUGGCUUCAGCAUUGACACUCCAGAGGACAGCUCCCUCCAGAAGAUUCUGGCACCCUCCAGAAGGGAUUCUAGAGGAUACGUCACCUUCACUCCCACUCAUGGUUGUCACCACCCCUAACAUCAACCGUCAGAUGAUACACUUUCAUCGCAGUUAUAGUUCAUUGCGUCUUCCAUUCUUCCAAGUCCCAAAGUCCAGAGCACUGGGGCAUGGUAGGGAAAGGCUCUGUGCAAGACCCGCGGUGAC